rnacentral:piRNA from 1 species
UGAGUAUUGACUGUCUCCCCCCCACC